rnacentral:rRNA from 2 species
UGUGCCUAAUACAUGCAAGUCGAACGCGUUGGCCCAAUUGAUUGAUGGUGCUUGCACCUGAUUGAUUUUGGUCGCCAACGAGUGGCGGACGGGUGAGUAACACGUAGGUAACCUGCCCAGAAGCGGGGGACAACAUUUGGAAACAGAUGCUAAUACCGCAUAACAACGUUGUUCGCAUGAACAACGCUUAAAAGAUGGCUUCUCGCUAUCACUUCUGGAUGGACCUGCGGUGCAUUAGCUUGUUGGUGGGGUAACGGCCUACCAAGGCGAUGAUGCAUAGCCGAGUUGAGAGACUGAUCGGCCACAAUGGGACUGAGACACGGCCCAUACUCCUACGGGAGGCAGCAGUAGGGAAUCUUCCACAAUGGGCGCAAGCCUGAUGGAGCAACACCGCGUGAGUGAAGAAGGGUUUCGGCUCGUAAGCUCUGUUGUUAAAGAAGAACACGUAUGAGAGUAACUGUUCAUACGUUGACGGUAUUUAACCAGAAAGUCACGGCUAACUACGUGCCAGCAGCCGCGGUAAUACGUAGGUGGCAAGCGUUAUCCGGAUUUAUUGGGCGUAAAGAGAGUGCAGGCGGUUUUCUAAGUCUGAUGUGAAAGCCUUCGGCUUAACCGGGAGAAGUGCAUCGGAAACUGGAUAACUUGGAGUGCA